CAGCAGCCGCGGUAAUACGAAGGGUGCAAGCGUUAAUCGGAAUUACUGGGCGUAAAGCGUGCGUAGGCGGUGAGUUAAGUCUGCUGUGAAAUCCCCGGGCUCAACCUGGGAAUGGCAGUGGAUACUGGCUCGCUAGAGUGUGUCAGAGGAUGGUGGAAUUCCCGGUGUAGCGGUGAAAUGCGUAGAGAUCGAGAGGAACAUCAGUGGCGAAGGCGGCCAUCUGGGACAACACUGACGCUGAGGCACGAAAGCGUGGGGAGCAAACAGGAUUAGAUACCCCGGUAGUCCCUGUCUCUUAUAC
rnacentral:rRNA from 1 species